rnacentral:rRNA from 1 species
GUAGGUGGCAAGCGUUGUCCGGAAUUAUUGGGCGUAAAGCGCGCGCAGGCGGUUCUUUAAGUCUGAUGUGAAAGCCCACGGCUCAACCGUGGAGGGUCAUUGGAAACUGGAGAACUUGAGUACAGAAGAGGAAAGCGGAAUUCCACGUGUAGUGGUGAAAUGCGUAGAGAUGUGGAGGAACACCAGUGGCGAAGGCGGCUUUCUGGUCUGUAACUGACGCUGAGGCGCGAAAGCGUGGGGAGCAAACAGGAUUAGAUACCCUGGUAGUCCACGCCGUAAACGAUGAGUGCUAAGUGUUAGGGGGUUUCCGCCCCCCUUAGUGCUGUAGCUAACGCAUUAAGCACUCCGCCUGGGGAUACGGCCGCAAGGCUG